GAACGUAACGCUGGCGGCAGGCUUAACACAUGCAAGUCGAGCGCCCCGCAAGGGGAGCGGCAGACGGGUGAGUACGCGUGGGAAUCUACCCUUGACUACGGAAUAACGCAGGACUUGUGCUAAUACGUAUGUGUCCUUCGGGAGAAAGAUUUAUCGGUCAAGCGAUGAGCCCGCGUUGGAUUAGCUAGUUGGUGGGGUAAAGGCCUACCAGGCGACGAUCCACUGGUCUGAGAGGAUGAUCAGCCACAUUGGGACUGAGACACGGCCCAAACUCCUACGGGAGGCAGCAGUGGGGAAUAUUGGACAUGGGCGCMGCCUGAUCCAGCCAUGCCGCGUGAGUGAUGAAGGCCCUAGGGUUGUAAAGCUCUUUCACCGGAGAGAUAAUGACGGUAUCCGGAGAAGAAGCCCCGGCUAACUUCGUGCCAGCAGCCGCGGUAAUACGAAGGGGGCUAGCGUUGUUCGGAAUUACUGGGCGUAAAGCGAAGGGGGCUAGCGUUGUUCGGAAUUACUGGGCGUAAAGCGCACGUAGGCGGAUCGAUCAGUCAGGGGUGAUCCCAGGGCU
rnacentral:rRNA from 1 species